rnacentral:rRNA from 1 species
AUUGAACGCUGGCGGCAGGCCUAACACAUGCAAGUCGCACGAGUGGCGGACGGGUGAGUAAUGUCUGGGAAACUGCCUGAUGGAGGGGGAUAACUACUGGAAACGGUAGCUAAUCCCGCAUACCAUCAGAUGUGCCCAGAUGGGAUUAGCUAGUAGGUGGGGGAAUGGCUCACCUAGGCGACGAUCCCUCGAUGGUCUGAGAGGAUGACCAGCCACACUGGAACUGAGACACGGUCCAGACUCCUACGGUAGGCAGCAGUGGGGAAUAUUGCACAAGGGGCGCAAGCCUGAUGCAGCCAUGCCGCGUGUGUGAAGAAGGCCUUCGGGUUGUAAAGCACUUUCAGCGAGGAGGCGUUACUCGCAGAAGAAGCACCGGCUAACUCCGUGCCAGCCGCCGCGGUAAUAC